GUACACAAAAAUGCACAUACUGUGAGCUCGAUGAGUAGGGCGGGACACGUGGUAUCCUGUCUGAAUAUGGGGGGACCAUCCUCCAAGGCUAAAUACUCCUGACUGACCGAUAGUGAACCAGUACCGUGAGGGAAAGGCGAAAAGAACCCCGGCGAGGGGAGUGAAAAAGAACCUGAAACCGUGUACGUACAAGCAGUGGGAGCCUCUUAAUGGGGUGACUGCGUACCUUUUGUAUAAUGGGUCAGCGACUUAUAUUCUGUAGCAAGGUUAACCGAAUAGGGGAGCCGAAGGGAAACCGAGUCUUAACUGGGCGUUAAGUUGCAGGGUAUAGACCCGAAACCCGGUGAUCUAGCCAUGGGCAGGUUGAAGGUUGGGUAACACUAACUGGAGGACCGAACCGACUAAUGUUGAAAAAUUAGCGGAUGACUUGUGGCUGGGGGUGAAAGGCCAAUCAAACCGGGAGAUAGCUGGUUCUCCCCGAAAGCUAUUUAGGUAGCGCCUCGUGAAUUCAUCUCCGGGGGUAGAGCACUGUUUCGGCAAGGGGGUCAUCCCGACUUACCAACCCGAUGCAAACUGCGAAUACCGGAGAAUGUUAUCACGGGAGACACACGGCGGGUGCUAACGUCCGUCGUGAAGAGGGAAACAACCCAGACCGCCAGCUAAGGU
rnacentral:rRNA from 1 species